AAUGACGCCUGGCAACUGCUCCUUGACAGCGCUGCCCCUCGACCAGCCGAGGCAGUUCCCUGCUUCAGCUCAGAAUGAGUCCGCUCUGGAGCUGAGUGCCUGACCAAAAAGGUCGCUCCUCGAGAAGGAAGUGUUAAAGGCGCAAGAGCAGUUCUUGUGGAUCACUAUGUAUAUGUUGAGAGCCAGUAACAUCAGCGUUGGCAAUUAGCCUGAGAUCAGUGCCUGCUAUUAAAAAUGACAGGCAGAAUUAUGCAACAGAAGAUUCGUUUGGGAAAUCUCAUUCACAGUCUGCACAUAUACUCAAGGAGACAAGCCCAUUUCUUAAAUACAUCUGUAGUUUAGGAGGAACCUGUGAUAAAUCUAAACCAAGAAGAAUAUUUUGAUGAGCUGAGGCUAAUAAUGCAUCCUUGCCUCUCAUGCUCCAGCAGAAAAAGGCACUGUCAGCGGGAGACAGACCACAGGGACCCUUCCUGCACAAGGCAAAUAGGAUGUUCACUUUGCAUAGCCUGCAUAGAGAAGUGCCAAAUGAAGUCAGUUUGAGUGAGACAAAACCAAAACCACUGGCGAUGUUCCUUCAAGCCUAAGCUGAAGGUCCAUUCCACAGAAGCACCCCUCUGGGUUAGAGGAGAAGCCCACCCUGGUAAAAUCAAAGCAGGGAUUCUACACAUGACCACGGCGAAGGGUUGGUUGGGUUGGGUUCAG
rnacentral:lncRNA from 1 species